UACGUAGGGGGCUAGCGUUGUCCGGAUUUAUUGGGCGUAAAGAGCGAUGUAGGCGGCCAGGUAGGUCUGGUGUGAAAACUCGAGGCUUAAACCUCGGAGAUGUCAUCGGAAACCAUCUGGCUAGAGUCCGGAAGAGGAGAGUGGAAUUCCGUGGUGUAGCGGUGAAAUGCGCAGAUAUCAGGAAGAACACCAAUGGCGAAAGCAGCUCUCUGGGACGGUACUGACGCUGAGACGCGAAAGCGUGGGGAGCGAACAGG
rnacentral:rRNA from 1 species